UACGUAGGGUGCAAGCGUUAAUCGGAAUUACUGGGCGUAAAGCGUGCGCAGGCGGCGUCGCAAGUCGAGUGUGAAAGCCCCGAGCUUAACUUGGGAAUUGCGCUCGAAACUACGGUGCUGGAGUAUGGCAGAGGAAGGUGGAAUUCCACGUGUAGCGGUGAAAUGCGCAGAUAUCAGGAGGAACACCGGUGGCGAAGGCGGGUCUCUGGGCCGAUACUGACGCUGGAGGAGCGAAAGCGUGGGGAGCGAACAGG
rnacentral:rRNA from 1 species